UGGACAGAUUAUUGUAUUCGACUGUAUUCUCGGCGUGAAAUAGGGGAUUACCCUGUUUUUAAAAACGAAAAGUGAAUCAAUUAACAUAAUGGACUCCU
rnacentral:pre_miRNA from 1 species